rnacentral:lncRNA from 1 species
CUGUCUGCUGUUAGGGUCACCUGGCUGGACACUGCUGCUGUCUUCGGGUCCCCCUGUGGGAGCUGGCCUCCUCCCCGCCCUGGCCUGUGACAUCACUGAGCGGGACAGUAAUUUCUCAGGCCUAGAGGAGGAGGAGGAGGGUGAGGAGUGGAGGAGCCUGGAGCCAGCACACACAGAGCAGGCCCUGCCCUGGCCCCUUCCCCACACCAUUAAUUUAAAAGGGAGAGACAGCAGAGAGGAAGGUGGAGUGAGAUCAGGAAUCCAACACCUGUGACUGACUCUCUGUUUGAAUCCAGCCCUGUGACCCGCAAGGGCUCCUUCUCUGCUCUAUGUCUCGGUCUCCUCACCUACAUAGUGGGGGAAGACGCAGCGCCUGGCGUGUGUGACCUGCGCGGCUUCAUGCCUGGUACGUGUAAGUGUGCUCUGAGCAAGUGCGCGGUACUUUCACCGUCAACCGUGACUGUCGUAACAAGA